CUGCGGUGAAUACGUUCCCGGGCCUUGUACACACCGCCCGUCACGUCACGAAAGUCGGUAACACCCGAAGCCGGUGGCCCAACCCCUUGUGGGAGGGAGCUGUCGAAGGUGGGACUGGCGAUUGGGACGAAGUCGUAACAAGGUAGCCGUACCGGAAGGUGCGGCUGGAUCACCUCCUUU
rnacentral:ncRNA from 1 species